CAGGCAAGGUUUCUCUGUGUAGCCCUGGCUGUCCUGGAACUUACUCUGUAGACCAGGUCAACAAGGAUUACACAUUAAGAGAGACUGUCUAUGAAUGAAUGAAUGAAUGAAUGAAUGAAUGAAUGAAUGAAUGAAUGAAAACAAAGCCAAUAAACAAAGAUCUCACAUAACAGCCCACAGGCAGGAUGAAAUUCCUAACUACUAAAGUAAAGAAGGAAAUGAAGAGAGUCAUAAAAAAGAAAGAGGACCUGAAAGGCCAUCAGACUAUAGGCAUAGAUGGGCUGGUUAAUGUAACAAAAGGGAGAAGAACAUGCUGGAAGGAAACAGACCGAAGAGCUGAGAGAAGACUGAGCACCAGCACUCUAAGGUUCAUCUGGACAGGGCUGGGCAACUGGAAAACCCAGUGGCCAGGGGUCCUCCUGCUUACCUUUAGCAGAGUCCUUAAGUAGGCAUGUGCAGCGCUGGACCAGUAGAGAAAACAUAGCCAAGCCCAAGGAUGCAGCUUGUUCCUGGAUCACAGAACGACACUCCUCUGAGAAGCAGUCUGCAAAGAAGCAAAGGAAACUCCAUCACACUCUAGGGGCCAAGUGCUACUCUGCUGCCCUAUAGAAGGGCUCCCUGACCACAGUGCUCAGCUUUGUUUUCUUUCCCUAAAAUGACAGGUGGUGGUUGUAAGCUCUCUUGAAGUAGAUUUAUGACUUUAUAUUAUAUAUAUAUAGCACUUGCCAGCAUGCCCUGCACACAGAAGAAUGCCUGAUAUCACAAGAUCCCCUAUGCAAGUCUUUUAAAUUUUUAAUUUAUUAUUUUUAAUUAAAAAUGUACCACUCAUUACAUAAAAUUUAACACAAUUCCAUUUUAGGCUCUCCCAUAUACAUAUUUUAAUUUUAUAUCCAAUGGUGUGAUGGUGUCAGAUACCUCAGAACUAGACAGUUAUAGACAGUUGUGAACGGCCAAGUGGGGGCUGGGAAUUAAACUCAGGUCCUUGGGAAUAGCAGCCAGUGCUCUUAACCACUGAGCAACCUCUCCAACCCCUAGGUUCUUCUAGAUUACACGGUGUGAGAAAUUUCUAGCAAAGAGAGUGUAUGUAAGAAGGCAAUACCACAAAGUCACUUUCUUUUCUAGAAUGCUCAACGUUAGAUCAUUGGAAAAAGGUGAAAUCUUACAUAACUCAAUUGUAUCUUGUUUUAAAUUUUAUCUUUAAAAUAAUUUUAUACAUGUACAUAAUGUAGUUUGAGUAUAUUCACUCUUUACCCCUUGCUAGUCCCUCUGAACCCCUUGUAGUUCCCAACAAGUCCCCCUCUUAUUUUCCUGUCUUUUAUUUUUAAUUUUUUUGCUUUAGAGAUUUCUUUGUAUUUUGUGUGUGCCUCACUUGCAUGUGAAUGUGCAGACGAUGUGCAUGGCUAGGGCUUGGGGAUGCCAGACAGGUCCUCUGGGAGUUACGGACACUGUGAGCCUCCAAACCCAAACUCCAGCCCCUGCCAUUUCUUUAAAAAACAUUAUUUAUUCUUUGGUAACCAUAUAUGAGUGCAUUUAGAUCAUGUGCACCUCCCUACUCCGCCCUCCAUUUUUUCAGUGACCCACCAAGAUUAAUUAAAGUAGCUAGUGUGAGCAUGGGUAUAGGUUAUUAUUAAAGUAGCUAGUGUGAGCAUGGGUAUAGGUUAUUAUUUAGUGGAGCAUAAGCAGCUCAUCAUAGGUUAUACACUGAUGAAAAAUGAUUCCUUCACCACCUCUAUAAAUUCUUUAUCACAUCACUUCCCCUAAGUCCUAUUACCUCAAAGUGCACAAAAUAAGCUGGAGUUGCAGAGUCUGUUUUAGUUAGCUAUUGAUAAUAUAAAGCUAUAGUACCAAAACCUUAUUUCAUUAGCAGGAACACAGUCAAUAACACAUUUACAACUUAUCUUCUUAGAUCACCAACUUUGGUUUCAGGCCUAGGCCCUCUAUAUUCCUCAUCCUAAGACAGCACACAUGAGACACAAAAACACAUUAACUUAUUUUUGCUGAGAGAAUUACCUUUGUCAAAAACAAUGCUUAUUAUAUAAUGUACUAGAUCAGUGUUAGUCUCCCCCGCCCCUCAACAGCGGGUUAAAAAGUAAAGCUGGCUUCUAACGCCAGCACCCUGGUUUCUCACUCUUACAUUCUGGCUUUAACUUCCACCUAGUUUUAGGUCACUGAGAGGAGCCACUUUGUUGAUGGGCAGAGUUAGUCUUCAUAAUACUCUCACAUCCCUGCCUUUACCUACAUACUCUCAGUGAUCUCUUCACUGCCAUUCCAUCCAGUUAUGAGGGCAAUAACAACAUGCCAGAAGCAGCAGUCCAACCUCAGCCUCAGAGGGGAGACACCCAACACACACAGGGAGAUGGACACAGUGGCCGGCCAAACUCACCAGCUUUGGCAGCAGCUAAUCUGAUAAUCCCCUUCACAGGAAAACUCAAGCUCCUAGUGUUAAAAGGAUAAUUAUCCACACAUUUGAUCUCUGUCCCUGCCUGCAUUUUGUUUGACCUGCCAGCUUACUAGUUUGCCAAGGACCUAAACAAGUUACUCCAGGAGACACUACACAACCAUGGCUAUUCCUAAGUCUUCACCACAGGAGCAAGAAUGACUGAAGAAC
ensembl:antisense Gm12333 predicted gene 12333